UACAAUUGAGGAAAAAAAACUUUCCAAUGUAUGUGGAAGAAGCAGCCACAAUAACAUACUUAGAUGUUGUGGAAAAACCUAGCUGGUCUGUAAUCUCCUUUGUUUCCAAGAUUACCUGACGCAAAGGUAAUAAGCACACAUUUACAAGGUGGUCAUAAAAGCAGUAACCUCCUAUGAUGCCCAAUGAACUGCCAAGAGCGGUUCCUCCAACAUCGUCUGUCAGCUCUUGACCAUCACAGAAGCGAUAGAGAAGCCUUGUUGGAAGAGGCAAUUUCACUUUCAAAAUGUUCUCCAACGCUUCAAUUUCAACUUCUGUUGCACCCUUUCGUAGUGUAGCAUCAGCCUCCGGGAAAUUUGCACUCAACCAGUUUUUAAGUCUAUCCCAACAUCUUUUCACCCGUUUGACAAGGGGCCAUGGGUACAUACCAAAAGAUUCCCGCCAUAGUCGAUAAGUUUCCUGGAGAAACAGGUCAUUUGAUAAGCUUCUGGGUAAUAUUCAAAAAGUAAUAGUAUUAGUUAGAUGAAUCAGAAUUGUAUGAUUACAUAUCAAAAGAAUAAAAUAAGUAAAAAAGAUGACUGGUCCAGCUGCAACUUAGGCCGGUUAUCAGUUUGAACCAUGUAACAAAUGGACAAAAUCCAGGAACAUAAAAAACAUGAUUGUUAGGCUGCAAGUUCCUUAGGGGCCAGCCCAAUGUACAUUUAUCAGGCCCAUACCUGGCUGAACCAACACAGCCUGCAUUCCUGGGCCCACACCUCCAAGACCUAACACAUAAAGUUAGGAUCUUGUAUCCUAACUGUUUUUUUUUUCUUUUUUCUAAGUUUUACAUAAAGUUACAUGAUGACAUAUAAUAAUCAAAAAACCAAAAAAAAAAAGAGAUUAAACACCAAAUACAAGAAAAUAUAUAAAGGCAAACAGCUAACAUGACUAAGGAUCCCUUACAAGACCAAAAAAAAAGAGAGAGAAUUCAGAUCCCACCUCCCAACUGGAGAUCCAGAAGAAAUAAACUCCACAACAUAUCUUUUAGAUUACAAAAAACGAACUAAUAACAUAAAUGUAGGCCAUAUUCCAUCAUCUAUGUAACAUGUAGAUAGGAAGUUGAACCUUGCAAAUGUGCAUAUUCAGGACUGGUCCAAGCUGCUUUUAAUAGAAGUAGACUAUAUUCCUUCAUUCAUGUUACAUCACAUGCACCUAGGAAGUUCAACCUUGUAAAUAUGCAUAAGCAGGACUGAUCCAAGGUGCUCUUGAUAGACCUCAACACAUAAUAAAUAUGCAUAUUCAGGAGGUUGAGCAUUACUUGAUGACUCUUCCUGUUCAAAAUACCAAGCUAAAAAUCAAAAUGAAUGAGCUUGUUUAGUUUACCAUUUUCCAGACUUUUCUUACAUGAAAAGAAAAAUGCAAUAAAGCACCACUUUUCUGGAUUUCCCAACUGAUUAAAAGAUUGCACCAAUGCUCAGAUAUUCCAUUCAUUGGCAGUGGUUAUUUUUGGCCAUCUGCAUUUUCACAUCUAAGAAAGCAUUACUUACCAAAGGAACAUAAACAUGAUCAUUCACUAUUUCUAGCAUUCUUAAUGAGAAAUCUUACUUACAAAAAAAAAAAUUAAUCUGGGAAAAAAGGCACUCCAGUGUGGGAGUUUCUUAUAGACUUGAGUUAUGCAUCAGGAGAAAUGAUCUUACAUGAAAUUCCCAUUUUACAUUCACUCAGCUAGCAUCCCAGAUGGAAGCUUAUAUUUUGAUAAAGACUCUGAUCAUGUGCAGAAUCUCUUAAGUCUGUGUGUGUGUGUCUGUGUGUAGGGGCAAUUUCUUAACUGCAUAUAUUUUUCUUAUAAAUAAGGACUUAAUUUUCAUAUUAACAUGUAACACCAUUUCAAUCUUUGAAACCAUAACUCAUAUAAGCUACUCAAGUAAAUGCAACUAUGACUUUUCAAGAGCAAAACAAGACAUGGAGACUGUUUUCUCAUCAGGCUUCCAUCAUUUGGCAUAGAAGAUCUCCAUUUAACAAAAAAUGGUAAGUGUGAAACAUAGGGAAAUGUCAAACUUUUCAGUAUACCAUAUUGCAAACUUGGUACACAAAAUUUCACAGGAAAAAAAGAAAAAGAAUUCAUGGUCCUAAAUUCCAAUACCUAAAAAUACACACAUCCAAAUUACAUAUAAUUCAACUAUUUACUCUGCAGAAAUUACAUUCAUAACUUCUGUCGCCUCACCCGUUAUGCAAAAAACCCAGAAUUGAUGUAUUUACUGAUUAUACAAUCUAAUGACGAAUUGAGCAAUCCAAGACACUUUCACCAUAAAUGCAUGUGUUUGUGAAGGAAAAUGACUCAAAUUCAUAGAAGUCAAAGCAUAUGAAAGAAAAAUGAGAAAGCUACAUAUAAGACAAACGACAAGAAGUCUCAAACAUCAUAUCAGUACGAUAAUCUGAACCGAAAUUGAAUCGACCAUAAAGGUAACCAAAGUAGAAGACCACAGAUUAGCGAUAAGUAGGAAAUUAGCCAAAAUAAAAAAAAAACACUUCAACAGCAUGAGUUGAAUCUGAAGCAAAUAUAAAGAGAAACAAAGCAGACAAUCACGAUAAUUCUGAAAAUUUGAAACAAGUCACUGCAAUAGUAUGGACUGAAACUGCAGAAACUGCAGAGGAAAUAAAGCACACAAUCAGAUUUUAAAAAAAAAAUUGAGGAAAAUCGAAAAAAAGAAUUCGAAAAAAUUAGAAAAAUAACCUUGAAAGAAGGAGCGGGUUUUCCGAGAGGAUCGAUAGGGGCAGAGAGUCCGAGAUCUUGAGAGCAGUGGUUGAGCCAAAGAGACUCUUCGGAUGCAGAAACCCUAAGCUUUUUGCUGACACAAGACACCGCUACAGUGUCUUUGGUGUCCAAUUUGGAUAUAAUUGCAUUGAUAGCCAAGUCGCCCAAGUCCUCCAACCCCAUUUCCAUGGCGCUUUCUAUCUCCAGUUUCUCACUCUACUUUCUCGCGCUGGUUUGUUUGGUGAGAAAGUUAGUGGUGUGUAAUAUACUACAGCCUAAGGACGAAGUUACGAACGCGAUCAAUCCAAGGGCGUGUUUGGGAAGACGUCGCUUUUGUGGUUUUAACAAACGGAGAAAAUGGACAUCCCUUUAAUAAGUUUGGGACAAGUGUGCUUCCUUAUUAACAAAAUGGUAACUCAUCUUUGCACAUUUCAAAGCUUUUAAUUACUAUCAAAAUAUACUAACUACAUUUGGUUGGCCGGAUAGAAUAGACAUUUCCAUAGGAUAUUAUAUCCGAUGUAACAUAUCUUUAGUUUGUGAAAUAAAUAAAGGAAGAUAAUAUGAAAUAAAUAUUAUUAAUCAAUUUGAAAAUUAAAAAAUUAUAUUACAUUCCAAAAUUUUUUAUUUUAAAAAGAAAAUUUCCUUACCUUUAACAAUAGUCAAGAUUAAAAUAUUUAAACUUUAUAAAUAUUUUUUUUAUCAAUAUUAUUUUAUAAAAAAAAUUAGUUCUUAUUUUUUAACCACAAAUUUAAUUUUAUAUAAUUUUAUAAUUUUAUUUAUCAAAAUAAGUAAUAUAAAAAAAUAAAUUUAUGAUAUAUAACAUAUGCAUAUUCUACAUUUAACUUAAAAUUAACAUAUCUUAUGUAGAUGGAAUAUUAAAUAUGCAGUAUUUAGAAAUUAUUGUUGUUUUCAAAACCUAAAAAGAGCUUUUUAUUUUUUCGCCAAAAAAAAAAAAUCUCAUUUCAUGCAUUAGUAUAGUGUCCUCCCCGUAUUGGUCGAAAAUACCCUUGGAGUGCCUUUUUGAGUGGCACCCAUACCAGCUAACAAGGCAAUGGCACAGUAGCCUCCUUUAAUUUGACUUUUAAAUCAUCACUUAACCAGCUUAUAACCAAUAAUAAAACAUAAAUUAAAAAUUUAUUGAAAUGUAAUUUCCCUAUUGAGAUUAAAAGAAUACAUGUGAUGACUUAACCUAGGUUUUAAACAUAUGUAAUUCUCAUAACCUAAAUUACACAUACAUUAAAAUAAAAACUUAAAUGAGUAAAUAUAGUAAUUAAAUCUUAGCCGCGGAGAUUUCUCUAGUGGAGCCCUAACCCAAUGUGUUCGAGAGUUUGACCUACCCAUUUCUCCAUCUAUGUGUGAGAUUCGUUGGUUGCAAUGUAGAUAUCAUGUUGACGGGAAGGAAGUGGCAAACCACCCCCACACCCCUUAAAAUCUAUGGUUGUUCUUAUUGAGAUAAGUCGCAACCUUACUCUUGUUUGAAGCAGAAGGUACCCUCUUUUUUUGUUCUUUGUGUCAAGAAUUAAGGUUCUUUGGUUUUAAUUAGUUAUAUAGUUACUGAAUUAUUAAUUUUUUGAAGCCUUAUUAUUUUGAUUUAGAUGAAUUCAUUUAACACAAUGUCUUAUUUGAAAUAAUAUUUUACCCAUUCAUUUGGGUAUAGUCAAAAUUCAUUUAAAAAAUUUAUCCAUGUGAUCAAUCUUAUUAUCUAGGUAAUUUACAAAAAUUCACCUCAUAUUAUCACUCAAAGCGAUUGUGAUUCUAGAAAAUGUUUUUAACAUUUCGAAUACUUGAAAAUUUUUAUCAUUCAAGUCUUAAAAAUGCUAAAAACAUUUCUUAAAAUCACUGUCAAACAUACUCCUAAUUUUAUUCUUAAUUUUUUUUUUAAACAAUGUUAAUCAUAAUAAAAUAUAUCACUUUCUUAAAUUAUCCCCUUCACUGCCCACACACAAAUUAGAUAUUUUCAUAUGAAUUUCCCAAUCCAAUUUUUGACCAAAGUUCUUAACAAAAUGAGAUAUUCAAUUAUGUGAGAAAAUAUAAUGAUCCUAGUAUUAAUUUAAAUUAACAUUAUAAUUUUUGUUCAAAAACCCAAAAAAAAAAAAAUGUUUUCAAAAGUAGUUUUGAAACACCAAACAAGUCCUACAUAGCUCUUGUCAUCUCUAGUUCAAAACAAAAACUUGUUUUUAAGAUCAAAUUCCAAGUACUAAAUUAAUCUUAUAUUAUUUUUGUUUUGAUGUUGAAAAUAUCUUUAUAUCAAUUUGGCUAAUUUAGUUCAAAGAAUCUAAUUUUAAUUUUAAAAAAAUUAAAAAAUAUAUUAUUUGUUUAUAAUAAUUAUUUUUAUAUUUAAUGAAAGUUUUAUAAUAUUAAUAUUACCCUCUUUGGCAUAAAGCUAGUGAGAGGCCUACCAACCAAUCCUUUGCCGAGUGAAGCUUAUUUCCCAAUCCAAGCCCACCCGCUUCAACAAGCAAACAUAGAUUCUCAAAUAAAACCACACCCAUAUAGGCGUUUUGAUUAACCCAAAAUUCAACACUACAAGUCUACACCCACAAAACUAAAAGAAAGCCAAAUUAAAAAUUGAAGGAAAAAAAAAAAUAGAAAACAUAUUGAAAGAGGCCCUUUUUACAUUCUCCCAGAACAGUCAGCUUUUCCUUUUUCUUUUUCUUUUUUCUCUUUUGGGUUUCUCCUCCAUGAGAAACUGCAGAGGGUUAAAGUCUCGGAGACGCGGCCAUUUCAACCCAAGAAAACAAAGCUAUUUGCGAUUGAAUUUCUUCUUGUUAAAGGCUAAUCAGCAACCAACCUAUCGCCAUUUUUUGGUCCAAGAAUUGCAUCCAUUUGACGGGGUAAAAAGCCGCAGGCUUCCUACACAUAGAGGAAAAAAAUGAAUAGUCGUCAGACAAAUACAAACAAUUUUUUUUUUUUUUCAAUACAAUUUAUAGAAUGGUGGCUUUCAAAAGGAUACCAAAAUUUGUGUUCUAUUUUUCUUUUGUUCUUCCGCAUUUGGUUCUUCAACAAUUGUAAUGACACAAUCAUAGCAAACCCAUUUAAAUGAAUGAAUUUCAUUCAAAAAACUUAUAAAAACAUUUCAUUAGUAAACACUAUAAAUGAUUUUUUCAGCUUUCUAAGAAUAUUAAAAUUAGAAAAACUAAAAAUAAAAAUAAAAAGCCUUUGCUUCUAACCCUUUCCGAAUCCCUUCCAAACACACUACUUUUAGUAUAUGAGUUGAAACUUGAAAAAUAAAUAAAUAAAAAUCAUAAUUUGAUUAAAGAUCCAUUUUCUCAUAUAUAUAUAUAUAUAUUAAAAGGUUAUUUAUUUUUUUAACUUUUUAUUGAAAGCAAUUUAAUUUUAAGUUUUUUAUUUUUUCAUUUUUUCAUAAUUUAUUAUAAACUUUUUACUAAAUAAAAAAACUAAAAUAUUUAGCUUUUUAUAAAUAAUAAAAAAUAAUAUAUUGAUUUUUUUUAACUUUUUAAUACUUAAUAAAAAUAAAAUAUUACAAAAACAAACUUAAUACUUAACACUGUUAAGUACUACUUAAUUUUAAGUUAUAUUUAAAAUUAAUUUUAAAAAAACAAUUACCACCUAAUUUAUCCGAAAUUACAAAAGAAUCAUACUUACAUGAAAUUUGGUUAGCAAUUUAAGUUGGAAAACUAGAAAAGAUUAGUUCAAUUGCAUUCAACACAACAUAAAUAAAAAUUUUAAAUCACAAAAUAGCCUAAUCAUCCAAAUUUAGGGUCACAAAACAUUUCAUUCAUUAAGUACUAAAAUUAUUAUUAACCCAUAAAUGUCUCUAUUAAAAAAAUAGCUUAUAGGUUAAAAAUUAAAGAUAAUUUUAUAGAAUAAAAAAUUACGAUCUAUUUGAUAAUUGCUUCCAAAAACUUACAGAGAAAUGUGUAAUAGCAAUUGGUGCCUUACAGAGAAAACAUGCAAAAGUAUCUGAUCACUAGGGGAAGAGCCAAACCUAAAACAAAGGUUAAAGAUGGGGUAGAUGGAUUGAGAUGCUGCACCCAAUGCUACAUAUGCUCCUUCAUUUCUGUCAAAAAGUUCACUCCUGAGUACUUCUUUCUCGGUCUUUUGGCCCAAGUAUUUAGCAGCACUGCUAACUCAUGGGUUAGUAAAGAAAGAAGCUAAGCGUGGAAAUUCAUUCAAGAAAACCGGCGCUGAUCAUACAAAUAAACAAGAAGUAGCGUCUUGCAGAUAUUUCAUGCUGGUGACCUUCUAACCGUCAAUGUGGUCUCACAAAUGCAAAAUAAGUUCAACACGAAUUAACAAUGGGAGGACAACAAAGCACUGGAAUGCGGCUGGUAUUCAAGAGAUUUACCCUAUUGAAUGUUUACAUCAGAAAAUGUAGUCUGGACACUGGAGAGGAAACCGGCCCACUUCAACCUCAAAUGCACUGCCUUUUGGGUCUGCCAAUCUGAAAAACAAAUAGGAAAAAGGUAACGCAUCAAUAAAAUGCAUUUUUGUAUGCAAAUGGUGCUACGACCUCAUUGUAACAUAUCCAACAACAAAAUUUUCUUUAAAUUUAAAGUACAGCUGACGGGAGAAUUAGUCCACAGGGUCUCUGCAGAAGGCACCCUAAAAUACCAUUCCCAGGCUGGUCAACAGAUUGGAUUCUGAUUGAUCGAAGUAGACAAACUAAAAUAUUCACAAACAGGAUAAAUUGUACUAGUAAACAUGGAUCCUUCAAACUAUGAUUCAUGUCAAAUUUCAGAUCUAAAAAGAUGCUCAAAUUCAAUUUAUGUGAUAGAUCAUAUUGGGAAACAUACAUGGAGAGACUGAAUGCAUGAACUGUAAUCAUUAGGCACAAACAACUUAGGAACAAAAAAUGAAUCAAUUUCUAAUUUGGACGAAAUUAUAACUAAAUCAACCCAAUUUAUUGACAGGCUCAUAUAGAGCACAAUAAGAAGAAAAGAAAAAGCUUUUAUUUCCUUUUUCCUUCUUUUCUUUUCUUUUUUUGGGGGGCAGCGGGCGGAGAUGGGAGGUGCUAAGAGUUCAUUAUCCAUAUUGAGAUUUCAUCAAAAUAUUUAAUCCACAUGGACUUCAAUUAGUUUAAUUAGUUUAGUAGUCAAUAUUAGUAAGUAACAAGAGUAGCAAAUUACAGUAGCAGUACAACUCAUACUACUCCUAACAGCAAAUGAUCCAUGUAGAACUUCAAUUAGUUUAUUAACUAGUUAGAUUCAACAAUAGUAGGUUUUAAGCACCUUUCUAAGCAGAUACUGUCAUGGUAUAUCGUUUACAAGCUUGUAGCAAUAUCGUUUGUACUACUCUAGCAGUAAAUUAUUAAGGAUUUUAGCAUUAUCUCAAUCUGUUCCCUCUCUUCCCCCCUCCCAACCUCCUAGGGCACCUCCCUGUACAGCAAGAAAGGUGUCUCCAAAAAUACUACCAUUAGACUGGAAAUGACAAAAGCUUCCUCCUUGUCCCUCCUAAGGCAUUAGGCUCCCUGUACAGCAAGAUGGGUGUCUCUUACAAUGAUGCAAAGAAUGGAACCAUGACAACAAAAACGACCUUGGAAAAUUUGUGGACUAUGAAGAAGAGACACAUUGGUAUCAUUGAACUUCCUAAAGAAGCUGCUUCUAUUAAUUCAAAUUUCCUUUGGGCCAACAAAGAUAUCUAACUUGUGUAGAUACUUAUCUUAUGCCUCUGUUCUCCAAACUUGUACAAUCAUGUCCAGCACUGCACCUGCACAGUACCCAAUGCCACACCCACCAAAACAAAAAAAAUUCUUGGCUCCACCCCUGAACAAACUGAACCCUGCCCUUGUCCUCUUCUACAGUAAGAACUGGAAAAUCAUAUUAAGACAAUCAUUGCCACCAAGCAGUAGCCUUGUCAGCAUGAUAUCAUCUAUUACCUUGCAGGCCUUCUACAAGCAGGAAAAAAGAAUUUAAAAACUAGGUCAAAGGAUGGUCAGGUCAGACUGUGCCCACAGUGGAAAUAGAGCACCAGCAAAAACUUGACAUAUUCAACUUAACCCAAAGAAGCCUUAAUCUAUUCAAUCCUUGGUAAUGGUAUCUUGUCUCAUUGUCCCUACUAUUCCCUCUGGCCUCCUAUUCAUCCUCAAUAAAUCGAAAGAUUCUCUCUAGCUCAUGUUUAAUUCCCUUUGUUUUGGAAGUAAUUCUUUUUCUUUACCUGUUUCUUCCUCAACUUUCCCCCCUUUCCGCUGCUGAGGUUUCUUGCAAUUUCCGAGUAAUGUGCAACAAUAUUCUGUGUAGUAGACAAGGUCACAUUGGUAACAAAUACAAGCAUAGUAAAGACUUUAGCCAUUAGAAUUUGUCAAUUCUGAGACAAGGUACUUAUUAGGUCAAAUAAGUACAAUAGAUCCAGACUAAUGUCAACCUAACCACUUCCGUGAAUAAAAUGUCAUUGUUUUUAAUAGAAUGGCUUGAAGAUAUACGCCACUUCAAAUUUGGCAUAUCACCCUGGUUGGUAAAGAAAUUAUCUAUAUCAUUCCACAUUUUCUCUCUAGGCACUUGGGGGGAAAUGAACAGAAGAAUGUGAGGAUCACCCAAUCAGUUCUCAUUUAGGCCAGGAUAGAGGCUAUCUGUCUGCCUUAAUACUCUACUGAUUAAUAUUUGAGAAUAAUUAUUGCAAACAAAUUAGAUUCCGCUGAUAACUUAAGCACCAUUAAUCUGUUAUAGCUGUAUGCUGCUUUGACCCAUUUCAAGCAGCUCAGGUUUGGUGAUUUAUCCCGUUAAAGAUAAAGAGUCAAGUUCAUAAAAGAGGACUUGUGAGGUUUAAUGUGGACUACCUGCCAGGAACAAAUGUGAAAGCACCUUCAAUUGAACCUCGGGAUGAUGAUAGAUGGGUGCAACUUUCAUAAACAAAUUCUUCCCCCCCAGGAUACAAGAGUGGAUACUGCAAAUACAAGAGAAGAGAGGUUAAAAUUUCAGUUGUUUGUUUAAAAGGAAUAAGUUUAAGGAUCCAAAUACUUAUUAAAAUAAAUUACGGCCUCUUCAAUCUCAGAUCAUGAAAACGAAAAAACUCUGGUGAGAACAUCAGAAAGCUUGUGGUCUUUAGUACUUUAAAAACCAUAGUCAAGAAUUAUGUAAAAGAAAAUGACCCCAUUCCACCUCAAUGACAUGCACAGUUCACUGCAGCUAAUCAAGGAAUUCAACUUGCAAGUUCCCCUGAUUUGCAUCAGAAGGCAACCACCAGAAAUAAUUGAGUUAACAAAUUAUCCUAAUUAAGAAAUUUUUGCUUCACAACAAAAACAACCUUACAAAUUCUAAUAUCUGAGCAGAAAGAAGACAGUUCAGAGUUUCAGUCAGGGACCAUUUAAGGAUCAAAUGAUCAUUGAUGAGUCCAAAGUUGGCGCAUGAACAGAGACUCUAUCAAGUUUACCAUAGGGUCAUAGAUUUUUUUUUUUUUUUUUUUUUUUUUUUAUAAGCAAGUGAGAGUAAUGUAUUACGAAAAAGGCACUAAAAUAGUGACUUAGGAUGUACAAGAAAGAGAGACUCUCCCCCUUAUAGUUGAAACAAAAACUGACCAGACAAGAUGUACAAAAAACAACCCCUCCCUCACCGGGAACCCACUCAAGCAAUGAAAUCAUUAGCGUCGACGACCAUCUUUUAUAAACAAUUUAGACUCCAACCAAAGCAAAUAUACAAAAAAAAGCUUUCAGCUCUUGCAAGGACAGCACACCAUUAUCAAAGGCAAUCUUGUUCCUUGUCUUCCAAACUGACCAAAACAAGCAUAAAGGGCCGCAUUCCAAACUGCCCUAUGCUUCUUACCCACAAAAGCCCCUUUCCACCCUAAGAGGGUUUCCUUAACCGAGGAAGGAAACACCUAAUGCACUCCAAACAGAGUAAAGAACAACUUCCACACUUCCCUUGUUUUUUUGCAAUGGAGAAAAAGAUGGUCAAUGGACUCCUCAUGCGCUAGGCACAAAUAACUUUUAUUUGCUAGCCCACCCCCUCUUCUAAACUUGGUCCAAGGUUAAAACUUUUCCCCAUGUCACUUCCCAAGCAAAGAAACUUACUUUCGGUUGCACACUUGAGUUCCAUAUUAUCUUCAUUGGGAAGCACCCUGUUCAUUCCAUCUCUAAGGCUUUAUAAAGAGUCUUUACCGAAAACGUGUCAUCCUUUGAUCCCUCCACCUCACCUUAUCCUCCAUAAUCACACUCUUCCCACUCAAACAUGUUAGAUAGUGUACAAUUAUUUCAGUUAUUUACUUUUCCUUUUUUUCCUUAUUGUAUUGUGGGUCCCACUAGCAUGUAUAUAUAUACCCAAGUCCAAUGUGUAUUAUUAAUAGUGUUUAAUAACAAAAAUUAGGGAUUCUCCCUUUUCUCUCUUUUCACAUGGUAUCAGAACCUAGGGAGAAAAACCUAAUUAUUUUUGGUUUAUCCGUGAAUCAAUUAUGGGAAACCUUUCAGUGACCGUGUUUCAUUCCGGUCACUUUCCCCAUCUCCUAAAGCUUUCCGAUCAACCGUAUCGCUGUCAGAAAACCCUCACCGCCGGAGACUUUUCCGACGACUUUUUCCGGCUAAGUCCUUUUCCAACACCGACCAUACUAUCAGGUGCGCAAGGAAGAGAUCUUCAAGUUUUGUCAAAGCACCGGAGGGAGAAUCUCAGUCACGCGCCGGCCACGCCCGUUUCUUCUCCGACGGCCUGAACCUCACGCGUCGACGCGUGAGGGCGCGUAGAGCACUUUCCGGCAACGCGCUUCCACCUCCAGCCUCGCCUGACGCCGUCUAGCCACUUUCCAUCUGUGCUUGUGCCAUUCGAGCCAUGCAAGUGCAUUUUUUGGGGUUUUUUUGGUCUCCGCCAGCCCUCUAAAUAGUCUUUCCGAUGACUUCCUUUCCACCCCAAGCCUUGCACGUGUCUUAGGAACCGCGAUCUGAAGCCGUAUUAGGGCUCUCUUUGAUCCAAACAUAUUUCGUUCUCCAGAUAAGUAGAUAUGGCUACUAAAAGUUCCAUUUUUUCCUCUAUUAUAUCUGGAUCUCCUAUGAUUACUUUGGAGAAAUUGGUUGGCAGUGAAAAUUAUUUGUCCUGGUCUGCCUUUGUGGAGCUUUGGUUUACGGGUCAAGGUUAUGAGGAUCACCUUGUUACGCAGGAGGCGGAUAUCCCUGAGGUUGACAGAGUACAAUGGAGGAAGAUAGAUGCACAGUUAUGUAGUGUGUUAUGACAAUCAGUUGAUCCUAAGAUUCUGCUUCAUCUUCAGACCUACAAAACAUGCUUUAAAUUUUGGAAUCAGGCGAAAGGGCUAUACACGAAUGAUAUCCAACGUCUUUAUAAGGUGGCUUCUUCUAUUGUCAAUUUCAGACAACAAGACAUGGAUUUAUCUACUUAUAUUGGUCAGAUUGCCUCUUUUAAGGAGGAAUUCUUGACUGUGAUGCCUCUUACUACUGAUGUUGAGGAUCAACGAACACAGAUUGACAAGUUCUUCAUGGUUCUUACGCUUAUUGGCCUCCGUCCAGAUCUUGAGACCAUCUGCGAUCAGAUUCUUGGCAGUUUCUCCGUUCCAUCCUUGGAUGAUGUGUUUGCUCGCUUCCUCCGUAUCUCCUCCACUCAAACUUUGCCAUCUGAUAACACUUCAGAUUCUUCUAUGUUAGUUUCUCAAACUACCUCUCAAGGAGGACGCAGUGGUAAUCGAGGUAAAGCCAACGUCCUCAUUGCACCUAUUGCAAUAAGCUUGGCCACACUAGUGAUCGGUGUUAUCAGUUACAUGGGCGGCCUCCCCGCACUGCCCACGUGGCCCAGUCAUCUGAUCCUCAACCACCUCAGCCUCCAAGCUCCUCCACAUCUCAAGGUAUUUCCCUCACUGACAGUGAGUAUGAUGACUAUCUCUGCUAUCAAGCCACCAAGUCAGCUUCUGUUGCUUCUGUUGCCCAGACCGGUAAUGCUUCUGUUUGUCGUACCCACACAUCUUCUCUUGGACCUUGGAUUCUAGAUUCUGGCGCUUCUGAUCACAUAUCUGGUAAUAAGGAUCCUUUCUCUUCUAUUACUACUACCUCUGCCUUACCUACUAUUACCUUAACUAAUGGUUCUCAAACUGUGGCUAAAGGCAUUGGUUUGGCACAUCCUCUCCUUUCUCUACUUCUCACUUUUGUCCUUUAUACUCCUGAGUGUUCCUUUAAUCUUCUCUCCAUCAACAAAAUCAUUCGUACUCUUAACAGCUCUAUUACUUUUUCUAAUAAAUUUGUGACCUUGCAGGACCGAAGUACGGGGAAGAGAUUGGCAUAGGACGUGAGUCUCAAGGCCUCUAUCACCUCACCUCGCCUUCAACUCUUGCAGUUUGCAUUUCCACUGAUGUUCCCCUCCUCAUCCACAGUUGCCUGGGCCACCCUAAUCUAUCCAAGUUCUAGAAGAUGGUCCCUCGUUUUUCAUCUUUUUCGUCGCUUGCAUGUGAGUCCUGUCAGCUUGGGAAACAUACUCGUGUCUCGUUCCCAAAGCGUUUGAAUAAUCGGGCAAAGUCUCCUUUUGAACUUGUCCACACUGAUGUUUGGGGUCCUUGUCGAACCGCGUCUACUUUAGGAUUUCAGUAUUUUGUCACUUUCAUUGAUGAUCAUUCUUGAUGUACUUGGUUAUUUUUAAUGAAAAAUCGAGCCGAAUUAUUCUUUAUUUUCCAAAAAUUUUAUGCUGAAAUCCAAACCCAGUUCAAUAUUUCUAUUCAUGUGUUACACAGUGACAAUGUCAAGGAAUAUUUUUCUGCACCAUUUACUUCAUUUAUGUCCCAACAUGGGAUCCUUCAUCAGUCUUCUUAUACUCAUACUCCUCAACAAAAUGGGGUAGUUGAACAUAAGAAUCGACAUCUUGUUGAGACAGCUCGUACUCUCCUUCUCCAUAGUAAUGUUCCUUUUCGUUUUUGGGGGGACGCUGUUCUUACAGCAUGUUAUUUGAUAAAUCAUAUGCCUUCAUUUGUAUUACACGAUCAGAUUCCUCAUUCCCUUCUUUUCCCUGACCAACCACUUUAUUUUCUUCCUCCUCGUGUUUUUUGUUGUACUUGUUUUGUUCAUAUUCUCACUCCUGGAUAGGAAAAACUUUCUGCCAGAGCCAUAAAAUGCAUCUUCUUGGGAUACUCCAGACUUCAAAAGGGUUAUCGUUGUUAUUCCUCUGAGACUCAUCGCUACUUUCUCUCCGCUGAUGUCACCUUCUUUGAGGACUCACCAUUCUUCUCCACCUCUGAGUCUCUUCCUAUUUCUAAAGUCUUACCCCUUCCCAUUAUCUCCCCACCUGUUGCAGUACCUUCUCGCCCACUUCAGGUUUAUCAUCACCAUCAUCGUGUCGUUGUUCCUCCUUCUUUGGCCGAGGUACCUGCUGACUCACUUCCUAUCCCUUCGGCUUCUCCUACCCCAGCUCUGCCUCCUUCUGUUGAUUUACCCAUUGCUCUUCGGAAAGGUAAUCGAUCUACUCGUAAUCCUCAUCCCAUUUACAAUUUUUUGAGUUACCAUCGAUUAUCUUCACCCUAUUCUGCAUUUCUUUCUGCUAUAUCUUUUGUUUCUCUUCCCAAAAGCACCCCCGAGGCUCUUUCCCAUCCAGGCUGGAGACAGGCAAUGGUAGAUGAAAUAGCUGCUUUACACUCCAAUGGCACUUGGGAUCUUGUUGUUUUACCCUCUAGUAAAUCUACAGUUGGUUGUCGUUGGGUCUACACAAUUAAGGUUGGCCCUGAUGGUCAGGUUGAUCGCCUUAAGGCCCGCUUAGUUGCUAAAGGCUAUACUCAAGUUUAUGGUUUUGAUUAUGGUGACACUUUCUCUCCUGUUGCCAAGAUUGCUUCAGUUCGUCUAUUGCUCUCCAUGGCUACUAUGCGUUCUUGGCCUCUAUAUCAGUUAGAUAUUAAAAAUGUUUUCCUUCAUGGGGAUCUUGCUGAGGAAGUUUAUAUGAAGCAACCACCUGGUUUUGUUGCUCAGGGGGAGUCUGGUUUAAUGUGCAAGUUACGUUGUUCUUUAUAUGGCUUGAAACAAUUUCCUCGAGCAUGGUUUAGCCGUUUUAGUUCUGUUGUUCAGGAGUUUGACAUGUUUCGCAAUACAACAGACCAUUCAGUUUUCUAUCAUCAUAACUCUUCGGGGCAGUGUAUUUAUCUGAUAGUUUAUGUGGACGACAUCGUCAUUACAGGCAGUAAUCAGAAUGGUAUUCAGAAACUAAAGUAACACCUUUUCACCCACUUUCAUACUAAAGACUUGGGGAAACUCAAGUAUUUCUUACGGAUUGAGAUAGCUCAAUCCAGUUCCGGUGUGGUUCUUUCCCAAAGGAAGUAUGCUUUAGACAUUUUGGAAGAAACCGAUAUGUUAGGCUGUAAACUGGUAGACACUCCUAUGGAUCCAAAUGUCAAACUUAUACCAAGACAGAGGAAGCCUUUAGGAGAUCCUGGGACAUAUCAGCGACUUGUAGGUAAACUGAACUAGCUCACCAUUACUCGCCCAGACAUUUCUUUUUCUGUAAGUGUUGUUAGUCAAUUCCUACAGUCACCAUGUGAUAGCCAUUGGGAUGUUGUAAUUCGCAUUCUUCGAUAUAUCAAAAGCACACCAGGCCAAGGUGUGUUGUACGAGAACUGAGGUUAUACCCAGGUUGUUGGUUACACAGAUGCAGAUUGGGCAGGCUCACCCACAGAUAGACGUUCCACUUCCGGGUAUUGUGUUUUUAUUGGAGGUAACCUAAUAUCCUGGAAGAGUAAGAAACAAGAUGUAGUGAUCAAAUCUAGUGUUGAAGCCGAGUAUCGAGCUAUGGCUCUGGCAACAUGUGAACUCAUAUAGCUGAAACAUCUUCUUCGGGAGUUGAGAUUUGGAAAGGAUGAACAGAUGAAGCUCGUCUGUGACAACCAAGCUGCUUUACAUAUUGCAUCCAAUCAAAUCUUCCAUGAAAGGACCAAACACAUUGAAGUUGACUGUCACUUCAUUAGAGAGAAGAUCGCAUCAGGAUGUGUGGCAACUAGUUUUGUCAAUUCAAAUGAUCAACUAGCAAAUAUUUUUACUAAAUCUCUCAAAGGUCCUAGAAUUAAAUACAUUUGUAACAAGCUUGGUGCAUAUAACAUAUAUGUUCCAGCUUGAGGGGAAGUGUUAGAUAGUGUACAGUUAUUUCAGUUAUUUACUUUUCCUUUUUUUUCCUUAUUGUAUUGUGGGUCCCACUAGCAUGUAUAUAUAUACUCAAGUCCAAUGUGUAUUAUUAAUAGUUUUUAAUAACAAAAAUUAGGGAUUCUCUCUUUUCUCUCUUUUCAAAAAACACAAUAAUAGAUUUUCCACCUCACCCAUCUCUCAAUCAUGAAAAGGCCUAGAGAAACAAGGGCUCCAACUCCUCCUCCCCCCCAAUCCUUUUCCUCACUUUCUGAAGCAGUCCAAACAUCUUCCACCAAAGCCUCUUUCGACGUAGCUAUGGCAAAUAAGGUAAGAAAAGAAACGCAUAAAAGGUGCAGCUCCACACCACUUAUCCUUCCAAAAAAUCACUUUCUGCCCAUUUCCCACCAUAAAAGAAAAUCUAGAGCUAACAAGGUGCCCCAACUUCUUAAUUGCUUUCCACAGGCCCACACCAUACCCUUCCCUUACUUCUUGAGAACACUAACCUUCACAUUCCCAUAUUUCUCCCUUAUUACUUGAUUCCAAAAAGUCUCUUUUUCAUUUGCAUAGCACCAACUCCAUUUGCGAAGGAGAGCCUUAUCGAGCAUGGCAAGGUUUUUCACCCCCAAGCCCCCUUUUCUCUUGUCUAGACAAACCGUCAACCAUCUUACCAAAUGAGAUUUUUUCUCCAAGGCCCUACCUCCUCACAGAAAAUCCCUCUUAAUCUACUUCAAUCUCAUUCUAACCAUUCUAGGCAAAUGGAGGAUAGACAUAAAAUAAAUUGGCAAACUAGAUAACGUGCUUCGUAUCAAGGUGAUUUUCCCACCCUUUGAGAUAUAUUGGCGCUUCCUCAUAGCCAAUAUUUUACGGAACCUUUCCUUAAUUCCGUCUCAAGCUGCCACAGAAUUAAAACAAGUACCCAGCGGCAUCCCCAACUAAGUAGACAGCAAGCUUCCCACCUUACAACCGAGCUCUACAGCCAAGUCUUACACAUUCUUCACCCUUCCCACCGGAAUUAGCUCACUUUUAUCCAUAUUAACUCUCAAACCAGAGAUUGCCUCAAACCACAUCAGCAACCACCUUAAAAACAUCAUCUACUUCUCCCGCGCCUCAUAGAAAAUCAACGUAUCAUCUGCAAAUAACAGAUGGGAGACCUUAACCCUUUCACGCCCUCUACCCCGCACUUGGCAGGUUGAUAAGAAGCCUCCACAAACUGCCCUCCUUAGAAGACAGCUAAGAGCUUCCAUUGGUAUCACAAAUAGGUAAGGCGACAAUGGAUCUCCUUGCCUUAGGCCCCUAGAGCUUUGAAAGAAACUGGAAGAGGUUCCAUUAACCAAAAUAGAAAAGCUAGCUAUGGUUAAACACCAUUUGAUCCACCUUAACCACUUCUCCCCAAACCCCAUCUUCUCCAUAACUGAUAGUAGAAAAGACCACUCAACAUGGUCAUAAACUUUCUCAAUGUCCACUUUGCACAAAAUCGCCCCCUCAUUGCUCUUCAAAAUCGAGUNNNNNNNNNNNNNNNNNNNNNNNNNNNNNNNNNNNNNNNNNNNNNNNNNNNNNNNNNNNNNNNNNNNNNNNNNNNNNNNNNNNNNNNNNNNNNNNNNNNNCCUUAGAAAUCACUUUAGGCAAGACCCUCUUCAGCCUGUUGGCCAGCACCUUAGCUAACCACUUGUACAGGCCCCCCCCCCCCCCCCCCCACCAAACUUAUUAGCCUGAAAUCCCUUGAGUCAUCUGCCCCCCCUUUCUUCGGGAUCAACACUAGAAAGGUUGAAUUCAAACUUCGCACAAAACAACCAAAAUCAUAGAAAUCCUUGAAAAAAUUCAUCACCUCAAACUUCACGAAAUCCCAUGAGGACUACCAAAAUGCCAUGGAGAACCCAUCUAGGACUGGAGCUUUGUCCCUGCAAAAACCCGACAGAACCUUAAACACCUCCUCCUCUAUAAAAGGCUUUUCUAACCCUGUUAUCUUAGAGUCUUCCAAUCUCUCAAAAGACAACUCACUUAGGUUGGGCCUCCAGUCAUCAUUUGUAAAGAGUAAGAGUUGGAAAGCUCUACCCAUUGCCACUCUUAAAUCUUUGUCCUGGGUGACCCACACCCCAUCAAUUUUGACUCGAGCCAUCUGGUCUCUCCUUCUAUGGGCAUUGGCCAUUCUAUGAAAGAACCUCAUGUUUCUAUCCCUCUCCUUAAACCAGAUUUCCCUUGAUUUUUGUUUCCAUGACGUUUCUUCCAAAGGAACCCAUUUUUUAUAAAUCUCUCUAGCUUCCAUCCUAGAUUCUUGCUCUUCCAGCGACAAAGGGAAAACACUCUCCUUAUCCCAAAAAUCCACUUGGUUUAGAGCUAACUCCUUUCAAACCUCAUACAAACCAAAAACUUCCUUGUUCCAACGUUUCAAGAGAGGUUUCAAAGCUUUCAACUUCUCAGCUAGGAUGAAACUAGCAGACCCAAAGAAAUUAAGCCCUUCCCACCACGUCCUCAGGACAUCCUUAAAGCCCUCCUCCUUCAACCACAUGUUUUCAAAUCUAAAAGGAGUGGGGCCUCUCCUCACCCCCUCCCCCAUCUAGAAGGACCGGGAAAUGAUCUGAAAGUGGCCUAACAAAAACAAUCUGAACAACCCUCGAAAAGUGGUCUUCCCAUUCCUCAAAGAUGAGGAAUCGAUCAAUUCUCCAUUAGGAUUGGCUAUUUAAGCCUCCGCUUCAAGUGAAAAGGCCUCCCUGAAGGGGCAAAUCCCUCAAUUCUAAAUCCUCAAUCACCUUUGAAAAUCACUUCAUGGUUGGUGACAAUAUGCCUCCUCUACUAUGCUCAUAAGGGAAUCUAAUCAUGUUAAAAUCUCCUACCAUGCACCAAGGGCCACUCCACAUACCUCUAACUGCCCCCAGCUCACUCCAAAAAACCUCCCUAUCCAUCUUCAGCAUGGGUCCAUAACCUUUGUAAAGCUCCAACAAAAUCCAUCCUCACAAUUCUUGAAACAACAAGACACUGAGAACAACCCCACCUACAUCUCCAACAAUUAUAACACUCUGUUGUCCCAGAACACCACAACCCCCGCCACUCCCCUCAAGUCCCCAAUCUAAACACCUACCUACCCCCAAACUACAUACAACCCCCCACAGUCAUUUCUUGCAUUUUGGUUUCUUGCAAACAAACUAAAUCCACCUACUAAGAUUUAAUAAAAGCCUUUUAUCAUCUUUCUCUUAUCUCCCUCAUUUGCCCCUCCAACAUUCCACGACAAGAUUCGAAACUUCAUCUAACACAAAUUAAUUCCCCCACGAUCCCCUCAUGUCCGACCAUAAUUCACCAAGCACUCCAACUUCUUCAACUCCCGAUCAGAUCUUGAAGGUUUUUGUUAUUUCCUCUUUUUCCCGAUCAAAUUCUCAAAUUGUUCUCUUUUCUCAUUCAUUCUCUUGAGAAGCUUUAAAAUUUCCCCCUCAAAACCCUCAGUUGGCAUUCCCAAACACUGACAUAAUGGCACUAAACAACUGUAUUUCCAAGACUCCCCUCCCUCUCUCUCUUCCUUUACUAACUCAACUCCCACCUUCUUUGUCGGGGAAGAAUCUCCACCUUCUAGUCCAUUCCCCCCCUCUUCCACCAAAAUCACCUGCAAUGGAUCUACCAUCAACUCCCCUUCCCUUGCCACCAAAUCACCAUCCACGCCCAAACUCUACCCUACCACAACCAUCGCCCCUUCCAACCCAGAGACCAAAGAAGAAGAAGAAGAAGAAGAAGAAGAAGAAGAAGAAGAGACCCAUCCCCUCAUAGAUGAAAAUCCUUCCACUAGAUUUCCCUAAUAGGAGAUGAUCAGUCAUUGGCCCUGUAAACCUCACUUACUAAGAAAAGGACUAAGAAAAUCCAACAUUAGAAUGUCUCGACACCAUUGAAGUAGUCAACACCCUUGCUUGUUGCGUGAAAAUUUGUUGUAUCUAUGCAUAUGAUGAAUGCAAAAGCCAUGCCAACCACAAAUAAAGUCAUCUACCAUGCAAGUUAUUCCUAAAUCAUUCCCACAGUAAUAACAUAGGCUAUAACGGCAAUUGUUAGCUGUUUCUUGUGAGAGAGUGACCAAAUCCCAACAGCUUAAGGUUUUGGGAAAGUUGGUAGCUAAACAUGGUACCAAAGUUGGAGGUCUUGGGUUUGAGCCUCUCUUAUUACCUUUCUCCACCUAUUUAUCUACUAUUACUACUGCCUAUUUAUCUACCACUACCACUACCUCUACCACUACUGGUUUGUUUUUCUCCACACAAUUGGGUAUGAAGCCAACACAUGAGGAAGGCUGAGGGAUGCCCUGCUUNNNNNNNNNNNNNNNNNNNNNNNNNNNNNNNNNNNNNNNNNNNNNNNNNNNNNNNNNNNNNNNNNNNNNNNNNNNNNNNNNNNNNNNNNNNNNNNNNNNCCACACGUCCAAAUCCAAAUAGCUUAAACUUUUAAGAAAGUUUGUAACUUGACAACAAUGAUGAAAGUUGGUAGCUUAACAACAAUGAUGCUUAGCAUGAUGACAACAAUAAUGUCAUUCAACCCUUGGCUAUCUCCAGCUUAAUGUCACAGGAUGCUUCAAAUGACCCUCCCCAUGGGCUUAUAUAGAGCCCAGAAAGCUUCUGGAGACUCCUAGAGCCAUCUACACUAAGCCAUUCGUGGAAAGAGUGUGGAAGGUUCUAGAGAUGCCUAGAGAUGUCCACACAUCUCUACAUUAUGGUGGAAGACAUGAGAAGAGUCCAAGGCUUUCUAGAGAAUUCUAGGAAUCUCUUGUAUAUUCUUGCACAUAGGUUUGUACAUAGAAUUAUUUAGGGUAUUCUAGAAUCUUCUUGAUUUGUAAGGAACCCUCCAAGGUUCCAGAGAGUUCCAAUGGUGCUUAUAAAUAGGUGAGGGCCUCAUUUGGCCAAGGCACCACCCAAGAACCUAACCAACCAACUAAGUGAGCUUCCAAGCAUUGUAUAGCUUUCUUUGAAAGCAAUAAAGCUUCCAUUCCCUAAGAGUCGCCUACUACACCUUCUAAAACUUCCGAGUUGCAAGCAUCUUAGCCUAGCAAGUUAAGCAUUGGGAGUAAGGCUAACUUAGCAAGAUCAAGUGUCGUGACUUGUCUAAGUGCCGCGACUUGUCUAAGUGCCGCAUGAGCUUAGGAAGAGACUAAGUCCGUGACAUUAAGCAAGCUUACUAGAGUCAAGAAAUAUGUUCAUCUCAUAACUGUUAAAUGUUUCUUCAAUAUUUUUCUUCCUGUUCCCAUUGUAUAUAAUUCCUAAGUCAUUUUCAGGCUAUAUAGAUGGCAGUUAAUGCUAUUAUGCAACUAGGAGAACGACAUGUUCUGUUGAAUGGGAACUGGACAAGUUAUUCAUUCUCAAAUAAGGACUUGAUUUAGAAUUAUAAAAGGGUCUAAAACAUUUAUCAGUUCCAUAGUUAGAACUCUUGACAUGCUGAACUGUCUAAGCAUUAAGAUGCUCGCUCAGAUAUUUUGUUGCAGCUAUUAUCAGAUAGAGGCCUUGAAACUUGAGGUUAACAUGCUGAACUGUCUAGGCAUUAAGAUACUCCCUCAGACAUUUUGUCGCAGCUCUUAUCAGAGAGAGGCCUUGAAACUCGAGGUUGACAUGCUGAACUGUCUAAGCAUUAAGAUGCUCCUUCAGAUGUUUUGUCGCAGCUCCUAUCAGAGAGAGGCAUUGAAACUCAAGGGCUAAUCUAAUUUGAGUGAUUGCUUUGGAUUAAAAUAUUUUCUUAGGUUCAGAAGUUUGCAUUUUAGAACCAAUUUCCCUCAUGUGAAACAAAAUCAGAAUUCAUAAUCAUUCCCUAAAGAAGACAUAACCAAUCAAAGAAUUAAAAAAACAAUUAAUUAUCAGUAGAGGAUGUCUGUUAAAAAAAGUGGGGGUGAUGGUUUGAAUGGAUCUCCAUCUUGGAUACAGGCACAUCCACAGACAUUAAUGUAUAUAGUUGACCAAUAUAUACUUUUCAAAACAUAAUGGAAGUUCCAACAUCAUUGAAGGGUGCCACAUAAUUAUGCCAGCAGGAAAAGUUCCUUCAUGUCUUCAUGCUGGCUUAGUUUUCUAUUCUGAUAAAUCCACAAAUUACAUGGAAAUGAAAAACACCACAGGAUUUUCAAAAUAAGUGGAAACAAGAAUUUUCAUUUCUAGUAAACUUGAACAUAGUAUCUAAUUGAAAAUUUGCUACUGCAAGAAGAUCAAUUAAUAGAACAAAAGCUUACCUUUCCAAUAACAGCUUCUGCAUUAACUUCAGAUACAACAUGGUCAUUUGCACGGAUGAUCCAGUGCCUCCAAUUCAGUUGGCAGGAGCCAAAGGAUAUUCCAUUGACAAUGCAUCCCUCAGGCAGGAGGCGCAUACGGAUUGAAUAAGCAAACACAUACUUAUGAGAUUUAUCUCGAAGGUUACAACCCUCCGGAAUGAAUACAGCAGAAGCACGAACCUAAAAUCGGGUGCCAUUGUCAAUUUUCAUAUAGCAAAGGAAAGACAACAGUGGUUGUAGUAGGAAUAGGAAACAAAGAACUCCCAAAAGUUGACAUAAAAACACCCUUCCAUCUUUGCAUCUUUGCUAGAGAGCUUACUUGAUAAUGUAUGUCAACUAUAAGGAGUGAUAAGAUUUUGCCUACCGAUGAUUUCAAUACACCUCAGACUAUAUAACCUGACCCAGCAUCCUUUAUUAUAACCAGCCAAGUGUAGAAUCAAAUCUCACUUAGGUCCUUUCACCCAAUUUAGCAUGUGAUUUCCUCUUGAUGGUGUGGUUGCGUGUAGAAUUGCCGAGAGAGACAGACAGACAGAUAGACACAGAGAGAGAGAGAGAGAGAGAGAGAGGAUACCAUUUUCAUGAAACCCACUCCUGCACCCCAAGCCAAGAAAAGAACUAAAGAAAAACAAAACCUAAAGAAAAAAAAUAUUGGACAAGUGAGUACCAGAGAAAGAGAGAGAGAAGAUGGCAUUUCCGUGGAAACAUAAUCCCACACCCCAAGCCAAGAAAAGAACUCAAGAAGAACAAAAGAAAACAAAGAGAAACAAUAUUGGACAAGUAAGUACCUGAGAGAGAGAGAGAGAAAUAGAGAAAAAGAAGAUGGCAUUUCCGUGAAACGUACUCCCACACCCCAAGCCAAGAGAAGAACUCAAGAAAAAACAAAACCUGACAAGAAAAAAUAUUGGAUAAGCGGGUACCUGAAUACCAUUGGUUACUGCAGUGGAACAGAGAGGAGGUUCUUCUGGGAACAAGUUGAUACUUCUGAUCAUUCCUUCCUUACGGAGUUUAAUAAUGCCAUUUUGUAAGCGACGAACAUGUUCUUCUAACCAUAGCAGCAUCGCAUCCUGCUGUUGACCAGUGUUCAUGUCAUGCAUCGGACUUAUCAGUGCAUUUGGUACACAAGGAAUCAUUUCUCCAGCUGAUACAAGACUCCUGGUACCAACAUAAAGUUGACCAGUGGUACAAUUGAGGAAAAAAAACUUUCCAAUGUAUGUGGAAGAAGCAGCCACAAUAACAUACUUAGAUGUUGUGGAAAAACCUAGCUGGUCUGUAAUCUCCUUUGUUUCCAAGAUUACCUGACGCAGAGGUAAUAAGCACACAUUUACAAGGUGGUCAUUACAGCAGUAACCUCCCAUGAUGCCCAAUGAACCACCAAGAGCGGUUCCUCCAACAUCUUCUUCCGUUAGCUCUUGACCAUCACAGAAGCGAUAGAGAAGCCUUGUUGGAAGAGGCAAUUUCACUUUCAAAAUGUUCUCCAACGCUUCAAUUUCAACUUCUGUUGCACCUUUUCGUAGUGUAGCAUCAGCGUCCGGGAAAUUU
rnacentral:lncRNA from 1 species